AGUGAACGCUGGCGGUAGGCUUAACACAUGCAAGUCGAACGGCAGCACAGUAAGAGCUUGCUCUUACGGGUGGCGAGUGGCGGACGGGUGAGGUAUAUAUCGGAAUCUACUUUUUCGUGGGGGAUAACGUAGGGAAACUUACGCUAAUACCGCAUACGACCUACGGGUGAAAGCAGGGGAUCUUCGGACCUUGCGCGAUUGAAUGAGCCGAUGUCGGAUUAGCUAGUUGGCGGGGUAAAGGCCCACCAAGGCGCCGAUCCGUAGCUGGUCUGAGAGGAUGGUCGGCGACACUGGAACUGGGACACGGUCCAGACUCCUACGGGAGGCAGCAGUGGGGAAUAUUGGGCAGUAGGCGCGAGCCUGAUCCAGCCAUACCGCGUGGGUGGAGGAGGCCUUCGGGUUGUGAAGCCCGUUUGUUGGGAAAGAAAAGCAGCAGGUUAAUACCACGCUGUUCUGACGGUACCCAAAGAAUAAGCACCGGCUAACUUCGUG
rnacentral:rRNA from 1 species